rnacentral:tRNA from 1 species
UUAUUUUGGCAGAAUAGUGUAUUUGAUUUAGAAUCAUUUUAAGUAAUUUUUACAGGUAAUAU